UUAAAACACAGAUCUAGAACCUCAGUCUCCAAAAAUUUCAAAGAAACGAAAUAAACAAUUUCUUCAAUGUUAUUCUCUGCUUUCAAAAUAAACAAAUGGCUUCGAGAAGGCUAGCAAAGUGCCGCUUUAAAAUCCUCGAAAACACUUGAACUCUCUGUCGCACAAUACGGUUGCCGGUUUUCUAGCUCUCGCCGUCAUUCUUCUUCCACAUGUUCUUUCUCUAAUUCUCUUUCUCGUCCUCCUAUUUUCCUCUCGUUUCCUCAGAACGGUGUCGUUUCUGCCGAGUUAUUGGCGAACGCUUUCACUCUUCUUCGCUCUUACGCUACAAGCGCCUUCCUGCUUCUUAUACCUUUUAUUACAUUCAAUGUAUAUACGUAUUGAUAUUGUAUUAAUUAGGCUAUUUUUUAAGCUAAUAUGUUAUUUAUAAGUAUCGUUUUGAGUUUUUUUUUAAAGCUUGUAUUAAGCUUUUUUUACUGCAAUUCAUAGUUCUGAGCUGAAUGUGUUGAGGUUGCCUCCAUCUGCACAUAACAGGUCACUUAAAACCGGGAGGUAUUGUCCGCUUUGAGCUUCCAUGGUCAUAUCGCGAGGGGGAGAGAUUUUGAGAUUGGCAUCAGCAGAAUGUAUUUGGAGAAAGCUAAUCCAACUGAGUACUCUGAGAUGGCAUGAGAGGGCGUCGCUGCUGCUGUUGAUGCCGCAAGAGUUAGCAGCACCAAGUGGUGGAAUCUAAACGUUUGAUGUGGGCCCUUUUGGGGCAAAGGACGGUUUAGCUCAAAGAAUAUUCACUAAGGCGGGGAUUGACAACACCUCAAUUUUGAAGGCUACAGACGAAGUUAUAUCCCAGCACCCAAAGGUUAUACACCAGGGGGCCUGUAUUAGGAUUGCAUCUUAGUUCACUACUGGAUAAUUCUCGAACGUAUAAAAAAGAUAUGGGAAAUGAUUUUGUGUCUGUUGAGCAUCUUUUGUUAACAUUUUAUUCUGAUAAGAGGUUUGGGCAAAACAAUUAUUCAAGAACCUUUAGCUUAACAAGAAGGACUUGAAGGAGGCCAUCAAAGCUAUUUGUGAAAAUGACAGAGUAACAGUCUAACAGAUCAAAAUCCUGAAGGAAAAUAUGAGGCACUGGACAAAUAUUGGAAUGAUUUGACAGAGCUUGCUAGGCGGGGCAAACAUGAUCGGGUUACGUGUUGAGAUGAUGAAAUUUAGAGGUGUAUGCAGAUAUUAUCUCAAAGAACCAUAAAUAAUCCUAUUAUUAUUGGCAAGCCUGGUGCUGAGGGAUUACCUCAACAUACUGUGAGAGGGGACGUUCCAGAACCAUUGUUGAACAGAAAGACAAGUAUGCAAAUCCAAGCACCCAGAACAUCCCAAAACUUGGUGCAUAUGCAUUUGUCACAUGGUAGAAAGGUAAAGCUCUUUACUCUUUGAUGAUAUAGUACAUUAUCCAUUUAAUAAAUGGUAAUAAUUUAUGUACUCACAGAUGGGUAUUAACAAAUUAAUAUGUUAUCAUAUAAUUAGAUGAUUUUAAAUUAAAAUAAAUAAUUAAAUCACCCAAUCAUGACACGUUAUCUAUUGGUACUCAUUCAUUAGUACUUAUUGUAAUACUCUUCUAUAAAGUUCUAACAAGAGAUGUCUGACUUUGUAAAAUGAGAAUGCCCUUUUCUCCUAAUUACUAUUAUUAUUCAUAAUUUUAAUUGUAACACCUCUAGGCAAUACUUACAUCAAUGAAACAUGAUAGACUUAUUAGGUAUGUAUAAAUAUUUCAUAUCGUCUAGGAAUAAUAAGAGAAGAUUGGCAAAGCAAUAUUGGUUAAAUAGUUAAAUGAACUCUUAAGUUGUUUUACAUGUUUUGAGUUAUGAUAAAGGGUCCUUGACCCAAAACCUAAGCUAACACGACAUGGAUACGAUCUAAUGUUAACCCAAAACUUAAAUUAACAUAAUAUAAAUACGAUUUGAUGAUAUUAACUGACAAAUCUAAACCAAACUCAAUAUUAAUGGUUUAAUAUUAGUUUGAAUUUGGUUGGGUGAAGAAAGCAAUUGAGACGAACUGCCAGGGUUGAGCCAAACUCUAUGUUAAUGGGUUAAUGAUAGUUUGAAUUUGGCUAGGUGAAGAAAGCGGUUGACACGAAAAUCAUUUAUUGGAAUUAAGCUUCUUAGCUGGAGCGAAACUGGGUGUGGCUCAUUAUCCUCCCAACCUAAGUCUAACUAAUUAUUGAAUUCUUUUAAACUUUAGAAAAAGGCAUUCAACAAAUUUGUGAGAGGGACAUAAAUAAUGUGCCUUAAUUUUUUGUAUUGAGUUUAAAAAUAAAUAAUGGAUAUGGAGACCAAGAAACAAGCUGACAAAUUAUAGAAUUAUUAACAUUUUCUCACCCAGUGCAUUUAGUAUAAAUCACAUUGUUAUAUAACAUAAAGUUAACUUUAAAUUCAACUGUAAAAGAGCAUUAUAGUUAUUUUUAUUUAAUAGAAUUAAAAAUUAACCUUUUGUUUUAUUGUCCUUUUUCGUUUCUCUCUAUCCAUGUUCCACCUAUUUUCAUUAACCAAUCUUUCUCUCCCCAUCUUUACAACCAACCUCUCCCCAUUACGAAUUUUACUUGCCUUGCCUUAAGCUAUUGGAUAUGUUAAAAGGCGAUUAAAGAUGCAAACCAUAAAAUCAUUGUCUAAUUCUUACUAGCUUCCUUCAUUGUGUUCUGCAAAAUUUUCAAGCAAAUGAUAAAUAUAAAGGGCAUAGGGUUCGAUUUAAUUUGAAUUGAGUCCAAACAAGAUUUUGUUUGAUAUUAGUUAGAGAUUGGUGAACUAAGGGUUAAGCUCGAUUAAAAAGUUAUUUGAUUUUAGAUUUAACUCAAGUUAGCUGGAACUUGAAUGUUCAGAUCUAUUCAAAUUCAACUUAUUGUAUGAAAGUUAGCAUAAUUUUCAGCUUGAGUUUGGUUUGUUUACUUUAAACUCAAAUAAAUCAGAUUGAAUCUUGUCUUGAAUCGGUAACUUUAAAAUUUUUUGGAUACAAUAAUUUUAUAUAAACAUUAUCCAAUGUGUUUGAGGGCUAUUCAAAGUUGAUUAGACAAAAAGGUUUGUUGAAGAAAAAAAAUUGUUGGAACUCUUUUGGGCAAAAUAAUGUUAGUCUUGUAUAAUGUAAGUUCAAGUUUGAGGGAUGUCAAUGAUUUUUCUGUUUGAACUCUUUUUGCAAUAAUUCUUUUUCUUUGACGAUUCAUCUCCAUGUCUAAUAGUUUCUUUUUUUUUUUCGACGAUUCUUAUUUUCUCUUUGGGUGUAUUAUUGUCUUCUCCUACAUUAUUUUUCACCAUUUUAAUCCAUUCAAAUUUGAACCGAAAACAAGCUUUAAUUGUUUAUGCUUAACUUGAUUAAUUUUGAAUCCAUUUGUGCCAUUUGUGCAAACUUGACACAAAAAAUUAAAAUAUCAGUAAAUUACUAUUUCCCGUCCAAGGUUUGGGCAAAUAUGCAUUCCCACUUGAAUCUAAAAACCACAGACUGCCACCCAAAUUUCAACCUCACGAUCUUGCUGAAUUUGGCCAAUGCUCACGUGAUUAUAAAUUUAUUGUUUACUCAAAGUAAAUGUUUGAAAUAUUUGCACAAACAUGUUUUAUGAUGUAAUUGCUUUGCUUGUUGAAGAAUAUUGCAUUUCAAAUGCUUCAAUCAAAUUACAUUUUUGUGGGUUAAA